AGUGAACGCUGGCGGUAGGCCUAACACAUGCAAGUCGAACGGCAGCACAGUAAGGGCUUGCUCUUACGGGUGGCGAGUGGCGGACGGGUGAGGAAUACAUCGGAAUCUACUUUUUCGUGGGGGAUAACGUAGGGAAACUUACGCUAAUACCGCAUACGACCUACGGGUGAAAGCAGGGGAUCUUCGGACCUUGCGCGAUUGAAUGAGCCGAUGUCGGAUUAGCUAGUUGGCGGGGUAAAGGCCCACCAAGGCGACGAUCCGUAGCUGGUCUGAGAGGAUGAUCAGCCACACUGGAACUGAGACACGGUCCAGACUCCUACGGGAGGCAGCAGUGGGGAAUAUUGGACAAUGGGCGCAAGCCUGAUCCAGCCGUACCGCGUGGGUGAAGAAGGCCUUCGGGUUGUAAAGCCCUUUUGUUGGGAAAGAAAAGCAGCAGGUUAAUACCCCGCUGUUCUGACGGUACCCAAAGAAUAAGCACCGGCUAACUUCGUG
rnacentral:rRNA from 1 species